AUUCUCGCCCGUCCACUCCCAGCGUAAAGAGGAUUCCGCGACUCGGAGACCGCAAUCUACCCGCCAGUCUCCAUAACGUAGGCCAGAGCAGCUGGGCUAAAUAAAACAGAGCCGGGGCUCUCCCUUCCCGAAGGCCUACAUCGCCCACUGGUCCGGGCUCGGAGCUCAGCAGAACCAGAGUAGGAGCGGUUGUUGCCGGCACGGAGGAGGGAGAGCGCUUGUGACGCUACGAACCUCUCGAACACCUGACGACUGGGCGCCAGGGCCGGAUGGAGGGUGGAGAGCCAGUGCGGCGCAGCUGCCUCCUCUUAACGGGGACACCUUGCAGGAAUGUGCGGAGUGGAGCUAACGGGAGCGGAUAGAAACCGAGGGAGGGGAAGAGAGCGCGAAGGCUUGGCCGGAAGGAGAGGUUAAAAAGGAAAGGCCUAAAAUGAGGAAGAGAGUUACCACAACAAGCAGUACCUAGUUCCAGUUCUUGGUCCCAGGAGUUUGUGGUUGUUGCUGCUUUCAUCUUCCUCAGCCAACACAAAAGGAAAGUGCCAAGGGGCGAUUCCUAGGACCUUCAGUGCAGUCUCCACCUUGCGGACUUGGCUCAUUUGUGUCCACUCCUUUCUCCAGCCUUUUACACUUGAUGCUCUUGGAUGAAUAGAA
rnacentral:lncRNA from 10 species